UACAGAGGUCCCAAGCGUUGUUCGGAUUCAUUGGGCGUAAAGGGUGCGUAGGCGGCGCGGUAAGUCGGGUGUGAAAUCUCGGAGCUUAACUCCGAAACUGCAUUCGAUACUGCCGUGCUUGGGGACUGGAGAGGAGACUGGAAUUUACGGUGUAGCGGUGAAAUGCGUAGAUAUCGUAAGGAAGACCAGUGGCGAAGGCGGGUCUCUGGACAGUUCCUGACGCUGAGGCACGAAAGCGUGGGGAGCAAACGGG
rnacentral:rRNA from 1 species